GACGAACGCUGGCGGCGUGCUUAACACAUGCAAGUCGAACGCUGAAGACCUGGCUUUUGUUGGGUUGGAUGAGUGGCGAACGGGUGAGUAACACGUGAGUAACCUGCCCUCUUCUUUGGGAUAACGCCCGGAAACGGGUGCUAAUACUGGAUAUUCACUGGCCUUCGCAUGGGGGUUGGUGGAAAGGUUUGUUCUGGUGGGGGAUGGGCUCGCGGCCUAUCAGCUUGUUGGUGGGGUGAUGGCCUACCAAGGCUUUGACGGGUAGCCGGCCUGAGAGGGUGACCGGUCACAUUGGGAAUGAGAGACGGCCCAGACGCCUACGGGAGGCAGCAGUGGGGAAUAUUGCACAAUGGGCGAAAGCAUGAUGCAGCGACGCCGCGUGAGGGAUGGAGGCCUUCGGGUUGUAAACCUCUUUCGCUCAUGGUCAAGCCGCAACCGUGGGUUGUGGUGAGGGUAGUGGGUAAAGAAGCGCCGGCUAACUACGUG
rnacentral:rRNA from 1 species